UUUUCGUAAAAGCUGAAAGCAUUGACCGUCGCUUUUAUUUUUUGUUAAACUUAAAAUGAGUUUUCGAACCAUACGAUUUAUUACUUCAAAUAAUAAAGUGUUUUACUGUAACUAAAGUCAUUUCGGAUGUAAUUCAAAACAUGAUAAUACUAUCGAUUAGUAGAGACCUUAUAAGUUCUCACUAUUUGGAAAGGAGUGAAGAAGAGGAACUUACAAGUAAACUGUGAUAUCUCGCUUGUGGGUUGUGAACUAUGUCAAGGAUUUAUCUCAGUUUAUCACAUUGGCCGGAACUGUAGCAGGAAUGGGCACUCAAGAUAUUUGAUUGCACUUUUAUGGAAGUGGAGCUUUUAAAUGAAUCAUAAAGAAAAUAUUAAAAUACUAUCAGCAAAUUUUGGUGAAAGUUUUCAAAAAGUUGCAAAACAAACAAAUUCUUGAUGUUUCGGCACAGUUUCCAUGUCGCCACUACCAAAACUGAAAUGGAAAACCACAAAAACCGAAGCUUUCAAUUUUAAUUGAAUACCAAGGUCCAGUGUUUGAGUUUGUAAUUGAAAAGCAUUGAAACAUUUCCAAAAUAAUUGAUUACACACUCCGUGUUCAUUGCCAAAAUUCAUUAAACCUUGUUUACUUUUCAUAAAAACACCAAACUGUUGUCCAAUUUUAUUAAAAUUUAUUUUAUUUAUAGAUGGGAACUGAAAGUAUAAAAAAAGUUCAUAAAAAUUUUGUCAGUUCAAAGUUAAGUCAUAAGACUGGAAACGUGAGAAUACAACACGGGAGCUACACUACAAGUAGGAUUAAUAAGCUUAUAAGGCCCUCAGCAGACGAAGAUAAUGUAAAAGUGGUUAAAUCCAAAUAUCUUAGUAAAGCAGUAAGACUGAGUGUUAGAAGAAUGCAAAAAACUAAAUCUAGAACUACCACUCCGAGAACUUGGUGGAUUGAAGAGUUGCAAGCUGAUAUGGAGGUACGUAUCGGAAACUGAAUAUAUGUUACAGAAAGUAGAGUAUUAUGGAUGAUUUUUUGUUGAAUAUAAACUGAAGUUAACCCUAAGCUAUUUUACUGAAAGAGAAGAUUGGUAAUUACUGAUAUAUGAUCAGUUCAAAAACUUUGGUAUAUAUUUAAGUUGUUCUCCGUUUAGUUUUUCCAAA